UGAUCCAGCCAUUCCGCGUGCGUGAAGAAGGCCUUCGGGUUGUAAACUGCUUUUGUACGGAACGAAAAGGCUCUGGCUAAUACCUGGGGCUCAUGACGGUACCGUAAGAAUAAGCACCGGCUAACUACGUGCCAGCAGCCGCGGUAAUACGUAGGGUGCAAGCGUUAAUCGGAAUUACUGGGCGUAAAGCGUGCGCAGGCGGUUUUGUAAGACAGAGGUGAAAUCCCCGGGCUCAACCUGGGAACUGCCUUUGUGACUGCUAGGCUGGAGUACGGCAGAGGGGGAUGGAAUUCCGCGUGUAGCAGUGAAAUGCGUAGAUAUGCGGAGGAACACCGAUGGCGAAGGCAAUCCCCUGGGCCUGUACUGACGCUCAUGCACGAAAGCGUGGGGAGCAAACAGGAUUAGAUACCCUGGUAGUCCACGCCCUAAACGAUGUCAACUGGUUGUUGGGUCUUAACUGACUCAGUAACGAAGCUAACGCGUGAAGUUGACCGCCUGGGGA
rnacentral:rRNA from 1 species